ACUCCUACGGGAGGCAGCAGUGGGGAAUCUUGCGCAAUGGGCGAAAGCCUGACGCAGCAACGCCGCGUGCGGGAUGACGGCCUUCGUGGUUGUAACCGCUUUCAGCAGGGACGAAAAUGACGGUACCUGCAGAAGAAGUCCCGGCUAACUACGUGCCAGCAGCCGCGGUAAUACGUAGGGACAAGCGUUGUCCGGAUUCAUUGGGCGUAAAGAGCUCGUAGGCGGUCUAGUAAGUUGGGUGUGAAAGCUCCGGGCUCAACCCGGAGAGGUCACCCAAAACUGCUAUGACUAGAGUCCAGUAGAGGAGCGUGGAAUUCCUGGUGUAGCGGUGAAAUGCGCAGAUAUCAGGAGGAACACCAGCAGCGAAGGCGGCGCUCUGGGCUGGAACUGACGCUGAGGAGCGAAAGCAUGGGUAGCAAACAGGAUUAGAUACCCUGGUAGCGACUGA
rnacentral:rRNA from 1 species